UGGGGAAUUUUGGACAAUGGGCGAAAGCCUGAUCCAGCAAUGCCGCGUGUGUGAAGAAGGCCUUCGGGUUGUAAAGCACUUUUGUCCGGAAAGAAAUCCUUGGCUCUAAUACAGUCGGGGGAUGACGGUACCGGAAGAAUAAGCACCGGCUAACUACGUGCCAGCAGCCGCGGUAAUACGUAGGGUGCAAGCGUUAAUCGGAAUUACUGGGCGUAAAGCGUGCGCAGGCGGUUUGCUAAGACCGAUGUGAAAUCCCCGGGCUCAACCUGGGAACUGCAUUGGUGACUGGGCAGGCUAGAGUAUGGCAGAGGGGGGUAGAAUUCCACGUGUAGCAGUGAAAUGCGUAGAGAUGUGGAGGAAUACCGAUGGCGAAGGCAGCCCCUGGGCCAAUACUGACGCUCAUGCACGAAAAGCGUGGGGGAGCAAAACAGGAUUAGAUACCCUGGUAGUCCACGCCCUAAAACGAUGUCAACUAGUUGUUGGGGAUUCAUUUCCUUAGUAAACGUAGCUAAACGCGUGAAAGUUGACCGCCUGGGGGAGUACGGUCGCAAAGAUUAAAAACUU
rnacentral:rRNA from 1 species